GAUGAACGCUGGCGGCGUGCCUAAUACAUGCAAGUCGAGCGAACAGACGAGGAGCUUGCUCCUCUGACGUUAGCGGCUGACGGGUGAGUAACACGUUGAUAACCUACCUAUAAGACUGGGAUAACUUCGGGAAACCUGAGCUAAUACCGGAUAAUAUAUUGAACCUCAUGGUUCAAUAGUGAAAGACGGUUUUGCUGUCACUUAUCGAUGGAUCCGCGCCGCAUUAGCUAGUUGGUAAGGUAACGGCUUACCAAGGCAACGAUGCGUAGCCGACCUGAGAGGGUGAUCGGCCACACUGGAACUGAGACACGGUCCAGACUCCUACGGGAGGCAGCAGUAGGGAAUCUUCCGCAAUGGGCGAAAGCCUGACGGAGAAACGCCGCGUGAGUGAUGAAGGUCUUCGGAUCGUAAAACUCUGUUAUUAGGGAAGAACAAAUGUGUAAGUAACUAUGCACGUCUUGACGGUACCUAAUCAGAAAGCCACGGCUAACUACGUG
rnacentral:rRNA from 1 species